rnacentral:rRNA from 1 species
GACGAACGCUGGCGGCGUGCCUAAUACAUGCAAGUCGAGCGGGGCUGUUUGCUGGAAGCCUUCGGGCGGAAAGCUUGCAGCCUAGCGGCGGACGGGUGAGUAACGCGUGGGUAACCUGUCCUGAAGUACGGGAUAACAGUUCGAAAGGGCUGCUAAUACCGGAUGUGGUCAAGGAUCCGCAUGGAUUUUUGAUUAAAGGGGAAACCCGUUUCGAGAUGGGCCCGCGUCCUAUCAGCUAGUUGGUGAGGUAAAAGCUCACCAAGGCGACGACGGGUAGCCGGCCUGAGAGGGUGACCGGCCACACUGGAACUGAGACACGGUCCAGACUCCUACGGGGGGCAGCAGUGGGGAAUCUUCCACAAUGGGCGAAAGCCUGAUGGAGCGACGCCGCGUGAGCGAAGAAGGCCUCGGUUGUAAAGCUCUGUCUGGAGGGACGAAGGAAGUGACGGUACCUCCGGAGGAAGCCACGGCUAACUACGUG